rnacentral:tRNA from 43 species
CGCGGGGUGGAGCAGCCCGGUAGCUCGUCAGGCUCAUAACCUGAAGGUCGCAAGUUCAAAUCUUGCCCCCGCAACCA